ensembl:lncRNA
CGACUAACCUUUCCGGUCACUCCAGGGACGCUGUUGUCGAGUGAAAGUAGCAGUUCCUCCUUAAGGUCUCAGAUUGCUGCAUCUGAGGGUCUCUUCAAUAGAAGACGUAGUUGAUGAAGACGUUCUGGAGCAGGACCAGAAAGACCACGACCAAGCAGCCUUGAGAUCUUAGGCAGCUUCUCCCUCAGGUCCCUCUCUAUCUCCCCACACAUCCACCAACCACUGGAACACAUCUCCAAAGUUCUGCAGGGCCAGCUCAGCUUCCCCUCAGAAGAAGUGCUGCCACCUGCCAGAUGAAGGAGCCUUUUGAGAGGCAGCUGGCAUCGUGAUUGGACUGUACUUUUGUCUGUUCCAAUCCAGCUUCAGCUCCAGAGACGGCAGGCGGGACGAGUCAACGGAGGCCGGAUGGACGAAGGCAUGCAGCUGAGUACAAUCCAGAAAACAACAGAGGAGGAAUGCAGCGGCUCAGUAUAGCCUUCGGUAUGAAAAAACACCAUCAUAUACAUUGUAUAUUGUACAAAUAACAAGUCAAAGGAAAGAGACAUACAUUGUAGAAUUGUAGUAAUUGUGGCCUGACUGAUUUACUGAUUAUCAGUAUUUUAUUUUUUACUGAUUUACGGUAAUAAAUCAAUUUAAAAAUGGUGCUACUUUGGCUCUGAACCUUUAUCUACCUGUGGUCUCUCUGUCUUCUGGAGUGAUUUGAUUGGUUAUACGUCACGAAUAAAACUCCUUUAACUUAACAUCUGUA